GUAGGUGGCAAGCGUUGUCCGGAAUUAUUGGGCGUAAAGCGCGCGCAGGCGGUUCUUUAAGUCUGAUGUGAAAGCCCACGGGCUCAACCGUGGAGGGUCAUUGGAAACUGGAGAACUUGAGUACAGAAGAGGAAAGCGGAAUUCCACGUGUAGCGGUGAAAUGCGUAGAGAUGUGGAGGAACACCAGUGGCGAAGGCGGCUUUCUGGUCUGUAACUGACGCUGAGGCGCGAAAGCGUGGGGAGCAAACAGGAUUAGAUACCCUGGUAGUCCACGCCGUAAACGAUGAGUGCUAAGUGUUAGGGGGGUUUCCGCCCCUUAGUGCUGCAGCUAACGCAUUAAGCACUCCGCCUGGGGAGUACGACCGCAAGGUUG
rnacentral:rRNA from 1 species